CCAACCUUAUGACUAAGCAUCUUUGUGUUAAUUCGGAUCUUUAUAUCUUUAAUUCGAGCACGAGUUGUGGUCCUAGAUACGCCCGUCUCAUGCAGACAAGAUAAGAAGCCAGAGUCGCAGAAAAAGUAGAUUCCUUGAAGGACGGAGGGUUGGCUGGAACUUUGAAUUGCUUUGUGCCCCAACCAAUUCUUGCAGGACAGGUUAGCGGCAAGCUCUUUCCCGUCUUCCAUUUUUAGCGACAGGAAUUUUCCAUAAUAUAGUGCAUAAAUAUCGUUGUUUGUGCAUGGACAGAGAAGAACUUUCAUUUCUUGCAAUGAUGCUGUCCCAAAGGAAAUACUGACGACAACAACAAUUACAUUAAAUAACAAAUAUCGAUAUCAGCUGUAAAUGUAUUACAAAAUCUUUCUACGCAAAAGACCACUUUACAAUCCGGUUUUAAAACUGAUCGUUGGCAACCUCCACAAAAGAUCGGACUGUGUAUAAAUAUACAAGCUCGAAAAGGAUCAGAACGUAUUACAUCUUCCAGGAUCUUCUGAGGAAGCUAAGAACCAGCAAACUCAUCAUGAAAUCGAUCAGCGUUGCCCUGUUGGCGUUGGUGGCCCUUUUUGCCCUGAUGGAGGUCACUGGAGCCCUGCCAGCACCCGAACCUAGCCGACGCUUCUUCUUUGGAGGUAGCCCCUACGGCUUCGGCGGUUACGGCUAUAGACCCUUCGGAUACGGCUUUGGCUACGGCGGAUACGGAGGUGGUUUUGGAGGCUUUGGUGGCCUUGGAGGAUUCUUCGGUUGAUAAAUAUCUUCCUUGAAAUUACGGGAAGGUAGAACAUUAAAAACCUUCAUGAAAUCUUUAUUUUUUAUCAAAAGUAAAUUCUUCUUAAAAUUGUAAUAAAACUUUCUACUUCCAAA